rnacentral:rRNA from 1 species
AUUGAACGCUGGCGGCAGGCCUAACACAUGCAAGUCGAGCGGAUGACGGGAGCUUGCUCCUUGAUUCAGCGGCGGACGGGUGAGUAAUGCCUAGGAAUCUGCCUGGUAGUGGGGGACAACGUUUCGAAAGGAACGCUAAUACCGCAUACGUCCUACGGGAGAAAGCAGGGGACCUUCGGGCCUUGCGCUAUCAGAUGAGCCUAGGUCGGAUUAGCUAGUUGGUGAGGUAAUGGCUCACCAAGGCGACGAUCCGUAACUGGUCUGAGAGGAUGAUCAGUCACACUGGAACUGAGACACGGUCCAGACUCCUACGGGAGGCAGCAGUGGGGAAUAUUGGACAAUGGGCGAAAGCCUGAUCCAGCCAUGCCGCGUGUGUGAAGAAGGUCUUCGGAUUGUAAAGCACUUUAAGUUGGGAGGAAGGGUUGUAGAUUAAUACUCUGCAAUUUUGACGUUACCGACAGAAUAAGCACCGGCUAACUCUGUGCCAGCAGCCGCUGUAACAC